rnacentral:rRNA from 1 species
AACGAACGCUGGCGGCAGGCCUAACACAUGCAAGUCGAGCGAGGACUUCGGUUCUAGCGGCGGACGGGUGAGUAACGCGUGGGAAUGUGCCCUUCUCUACGGAAUAGCCCUGGGAAACUGGGAGUAAUACCGUAUACGCCCUAUUGGGGAAAGAUUUAUCGGAGAAGGAUCAGCCCGCGUUGGAUUAGGUAGUUGGUGGGGUAAUGGCCUACCAAGCCGACGAUCCAUAGCUGGUUUGAGAGGAUGAUCAGCCACACUGGGACUGAGACACGGCCCAGACUCCUACGGGAGGCAGCAGUGGGGAAUAUUAGACAAUGGGGGCAACCCUGAUCUAGCCAUGCCGCGUGAGUGAUGAAGGCCUUAGGGUUGUAAAGCUCUUUCAGCUGGGAAGAUAAUGACGGUACCGGCAGAAGAAGCCCCGGCUAACUCCGUG